GGGAGCCUGAGAAACGGCUACCACAUCCAAGGAUGGCAGCAGGCGCGCAAAUUACCCAAUCCCGACACGGGGAGGUAGUGACAAUAAAUAACAAUACGGGGUUCUUUCGGAUCUCGUAAUUGGAAUGAGUACAAUUUAAAUCUCUUAACGAGGAACAAUUGGAGGGCAAGUCUGGUGCCAGCAGCCGCGGUAAUUCCAGCUCCAAUAGCGUAUANNNAAGUUGUUGCAGUUAAAAAGCUCGUAGUUGAAUUUCGGGGUUAGUAGGUUGGUCAUGCCUCUGGUAUGUACUGAUCUCACUGAUUCCUCCUUCCUGAUGAACCGUAAUGCCAUUAAUUUGGUGUUGCGGGGAAUUUGGACUGUUACUUUGAAAAAAUUAGAGUGUUUAAAGCAAGCUAACGCUUGAAUACAUUAGCAUGGAAUAAUGAAAUAGGACGUUCGAUCCUAUUUUGUUGGUUUCUAGGAUUGACGUAAUGAUUAAUAGGGAUAGUUGGGGGCAUUGGUAUUCAAUUGUCAGAGGUGAAAUUCUUGGAUUUAUUGAAGACUAACCACUGCGAAAGCAUUUGCCAAGGAUGUUUUCAUUAAUCAAGAACGAAAGUUAGGGGAUCGAAGACGAUCAGAUACCGUCGUAGUCUUAACCAUAAACUAUGCCGACUAGGAAUCAGACGAUGUUAAUUUUUUAAUGACUCGUUUGGCACCUUACGGGAA
rnacentral:rRNA from 1 species